AGAGUUUGAUCAUGGCUCAGGAUUAACGCUGGCGGCGCACAUAAGACAUGCAAGUCGAACGGACUUAAUCGAUUCUUUUAGAUUCGAAGCGGUUAGUGGCGGACUGGUGAGUAACACGUAAGGAACCUGCCUAUUAGAGGGGAAUAACAACGAGAAAUCGUUGCUAAUACCGCAUAAGCUGGAGGUAUCGCAUGAUACAGUCAGAAAAGGAGUAAUCCGCUAAUAGAUGGCCUUGCGUCCGAUUAGCUAGUUGGUGGGGUAACGGCCUACCAAGGCAACGAUCGGUAGCCGAGCUGAGAGGCUCAACGGCCACAUUGGGACUGAGAUACGGCCCAGACUCCUACGGGAGGCAGCAGUCGGGAAUAUUGCGCAAUGGAGGAAACUCUGACGCAGUGACGCCGCGUAUAGGAAGAAGGUUUUCGGAUUGUAAACUAUUUUAGACAGGGAAGAAGAUGACAGUACCUGUAGAAUAAGCUCCGGCUAACUACGUGCCAGCAGCCGCGGUAAUACGUAGGGAGCAAGCGUUAUCCGGAUUUAUUGGGUGUAAAGGGUGCGUAGAUGGGAGAACAAGUUAGUUGUGAAAGCCCUCGGCUUAACUGAGGAACUGCAACUAAAACUAUUUUUCUUGAGUGCAGGAGAGGAAAGCGGAAUUCCUAGUGUAGCGGUGAAAUGCGUAGAUAUUAGGAGGAACACCAGUGGCGAAGGCGGCUUUCUGGACUGUAACUGACAUUGAGGCACGAAAGUGUGGGGAGCAAACAGGAUUAGAUACCCUGGUAGUCCACACUGUAAACGAUGGAUACUAGGUGUAGGAGAUGAUUUCAUCAUCUGUGCCGAAAGCAAACGCAAUAAGUAUCCCACCUGGGGAGUACGGCCGCAAGGUUGAAACUCAAAGGAAUUGACGGGGGCCCGCACAAGCAGUGGAGUAUGUGGUUUAAUUCGAAGCAACGCGAAGAACCUUACCAGGGCUUGACAUAUACAG
rnacentral:rRNA from 1 species